rnacentral:sRNA from 1 species
GGAUGUGAGGGCGAUCUGGCUGCGACAUCUGUCACCCCAUUGAUCGCCAGGGUUGAUUCGGCUGAUCUGGCUGGCUAGGCGGGUGUCCCCUUCCUCCCUCACCGCUCCAUGUGCGUCCCUCCCGAAGCUGCACGCUCGGUAGAAGAGGAUGGCCUUCCCCGAAUAGAGACGGACCAAAGGGAUAAAGAAUAGGAAAGCUAUCAGUGGAGGGGAUGGGAUACGGAGUUCUGGUGGUAGAAAUUUAUGUAGAGUUGUACCCUUCUUAUCCUAUUUUUUGUCAGUGUUUCCUUUUUAUAAAUAAAAAUUAUAUUAAAAAAAGAAGAUGAGUCAAUGAAAAUCUUU